rnacentral:tRNA from 2 species
CCCCUCUUAACUCAGACUGGUAGAGUGCUCGGCUGUAGAUAACUUCGCGUUCUAAAGCAUAAAGCUGAUGAAGAAACGUUGGCCGAGACCGAGAUGUCGCUGGAUCAAAGCCGGCAGAGGGGACCA